GAGUAUUAGGCAAAUCCGGUACUCAUUAAGGCUGAGCUGUGAUGGGGAGAAGACAUUGUGUCUUCGAGUCGUUGAUUUCACACUGCCGAGAAAAGCCUCUAGAUAGAAAAUAGGUGCCCGUACCGCAAACCGACACAGGUAGUCAAGAUGAGAAUUCUAAGGUGAGCGAGCGAACUCUCGUUAAGGAACUCGGCAAAAUGACCCCGUAACUUCGGGAGAAGGGGUGCUCUUUAGGGUUAACGCCCAGAAGAGCCGCAGUGAAUAGGCCCAAGCGACUGUUUAUCAAAAACACAGGUCUCUGCUAAACCGUAAGGUGAUGUAUAGGGGCUGACGCCUGCCCGGUGCUGGAAGGUUAAGAGGAGUGGUUAGCUUCUGCGAAGCUACGAAUCGAAGCCCCAGUAAACGGCGGCCGUAACUAUAACGGUCCUAAGGUAGCGAAAUUCCUUGUCGGGUAAGUUCCGACCCGCACGAAAGGCGUAACGAUUUGGGCACUGUCUCAACGAGAGACUCGGUGAAAUCAUAG
rnacentral:rRNA from 1 species